CAAGGCCAGGGUCGUCUGCAGAAGGCAGGAGAUAUUGGCCCCGGAAGACCUGCAGACUUCUUUUGUUAAACAGUUGCUGCAAGUCAAGUCCCUGGAAAAGACUCUCAAACAGGACAUUUGGAUUGUUUCCAGCUUCAGGUGAUGACCAGUAGAACUGCUGUAAUAUUCGUAUUCCUUGAGAUUAUCUGCAUGGAAAAUCAUGUUUCCUGAAGUUUUACCUGAAGAAAUUUGUCAUCUCUCACCUGCCAUCCUAUUCCAUAGAUAUUCCUGUGGAACAGAAGAAAAUACGCAGAGAUCCAGAGAAGGCUAAUGGAAGACAGAGGCCAAUGGGAGGGACAUAGGCCAUAAAUCAAGAACCAUUUCAGCCCCCGGAGCUGGAAGAGACAAGGCAGACUUCCCCCGUGGAGACUUUUGAGGCAGUACUGCCCUACUGACAUCUUGACUUUGGACUCCUGGUCUUCAGAUCUGUGAGGGAAUAAAUUUCUGUUGUUUUAAGCCA